rnacentral:rRNA from 1 species
CUCCCUCGUUGCUGAUCUCAGGUUCGAUAAUGCCAAUAUCGCACCACCUCGACCUAAAAACCAACUUCGAUGAAGCGACGGGCGGUGUGUGACG